rnacentral:rRNA from 1 species
CCUACGGGAGGCAGCAGUAAGGAAUAUUGGUCAAUGGACGCAAGUCUGAACCAGCCAUGCCGCGUGAAGGAUUAAGGUCCUCUGGAUUGUAAACUUCUUUUAUCUGGGACGAAAAAAGGCGAUUCUUCGUCACUUGACGGUACCAGAUGAAUAAGCACCGGCUAACUCCGUGCCAGCAGCCGCGGUAAUACGGAGGGUGCAAGCGUUAUCCGGAUUCACUGGGUUUAAAGGGUGCGUAGGCGGGCAGGUAAGUCAGUGGUGAAAUCCUAGAGCUUAACUCUAGAACUGCCAUUGAUACUAUCUGUCUUGAAUAUUGUGGAGGUAAGCGGAAUAUGUCAUGUAGCGGUGAAAUGCUUAGAUAUGACAUAGAACACCUAUUGCGAAGGCAGCUUACUACGCAUAUAUUGACGCUGAGGCACGAAAGCGUGGGGAUCAAACAGGAUUAGAUACCCUGGUAGUCCACGCCCUAAACGAUGAUUACUCGACAUUUGUGAUACACUAUAAGUGUCUGAGCGAAAGCAUUAAGUAAUCCACCUGGGAAGUACGACCGCAAGGUUGAAACGUUAAAGGAAUUGACGGCUGAGACGAGCGAGGACGACGACGAGGGAGGAGG